rnacentral:rRNA from 1 species
GGGGAAUUUUGGACAAUGGGCGCAAGCCUGAUCCAGCCAUGCCGCGUGUCUGAAGAAGGCCUUCGGGUUGUAAAGGACUUUUGUCAGGGAAGAAAAGGCUGUUGCUAAUACCGACAGCUGAUGACGGUACCUGAAGAAUAAGCACCGGCUAACUACGUGCCAGCAGCCGCGGUAAUACGUAGGGUGCGAGCGUUAAUCGGAAUUACUGGGCGUAAAGCGAGCGCAGACGGUUACUUAAGCAGGAUGUGAAAUCCCCGGGCUCAACCUGGGAACUGCGUUCUGAACUGGGUGACUAGAGUGUGUCAGAGGGAGGUAGAAUUCCACGUGUAGCAGUGAAAUGCGUAGAGAUGUGGAGGAAUACCGAUGGCGAAGGCAGCCUCCUGGGAUAACACUGACGUUCAUGCUCGAAAGCGUGGGUAGCAAACAGGAUUAGAUACCCUGGUAGUCCCCGCCCUAAACGAUGUCAAUUAGCUGUUGGGCAACUUGAUUGCUUAGUAGCGUAGCUAACGCGUGAAAUUGACCGCCUGGGGAGUACGGUCGCAAGAUUA